UGGAAGGAGAGACAUGCACCACAGAGACAGAGGCGUGAGGUGUCUGGCUCUGACGUUCCUGCUCAGGAGCCUGCUGGUGAGUGCGAAGCCAGUCCCUGUUCUUUAUAGAAGCCUGAGUCACUGCUGUUGCCUUUGAAAUCGGCUGGAGAUGCCAUGUAACCAGCUGCCUCGUGUUCCCUACCACGAUGGACUAUACCCCCUUGAACUGUGAGACAAAACAAAGCCUUCCUCCCUUAAGCGGCUUUUGUCAGCUGGGCUCAUUACCUAACAGAGCAACAGAACUACAGAGAGGAAUUCGGGUCCCGCCCGGAGAUUGCAGAGAAGAGGCAAGAGGAUGAUGAUCUGGGGGGGUGGGGGGGUGGGGAGGCUGCUGGAGGAGAGGAGCUGUGGCCAGUUCUAAGGUGGUGAGGUGCCUGCAUUUUGAGGGCAUAGAGCUAUAAGAGAGCAUGGCAUCCAUAAGGAACAGCUCAGGGGAGAGUGGCAGAUGCCUACACCUUAAGUCCCCAUCUUGGAGAUUGUAAAGAAUUGCUUUCAUGAUGGUCUGGCAGCCAGGCCACCAGUCAAGUCUAGACUCCUCAGGGGAAUAAAUGUCACUUCCUCAUGUGCAUGGGGGUUGGGUAGUGGGGCACAGGGCUAAAGGGCAUAUGGAAGGGGAGGGGUUGUAAGUAUGUUGGGAUGAGUAGUGCUGCAGGCCUUCUCUGUGAGGGGAAAGGACUCUUGAACAUUGGGAGGACUGUUUAUGCCACAGUGGAUUAAACUUAACAGCAGAUUCACUCCGGAGUUAAACAUUUAUUCCUCAUAAUACAUUAGCAUGCCCAUUUACAAAUGGGAAAGAAGUCAUGGGGGAAUUAAGUAAAUUUUUAGACCACUCAGCUAGUCAGAUGUGUGGUGAGGAGGCUGGGGAAUCGGAACCUCCCCUGUGGUUUGGUACUAUCUACAACCUUGAUUCUUCUUUCUAAACUCCCCCAUGGCUCGUUGCUGGGGCAGGCACAUCCUUCGAAGUCCACCUCCUCUGCUUGCUGCAGUCAUAAUUAUUAGAUUUUGAUUUCCAUGUUGGUGAAAUCUGCAGUUUCUCCUUCCAUCUCCAGCAAUCCCUGCUCUCUUGGAUUACAGAGAGCAUGCUGAUGUUGGAUCCUACUGACCCACCCCUCUGUCGGUGACCUUUACAUACCCAGCUGAGCACAGAGAUUUACAAGUAGAGACGCUCAUUAGCCUGGAGCGACUAUUGAAGAUGCCCUGGGCAGUGAAGUUGCAGGGGCCUGGCCUCACACAUUCCAGGGUCAUUUGUCAUAUAGAACGUGAUAUUUGCUGAAGAAAUCAACCCUAAUUUUAUUAUUUAAUGGAAGAAAUGUGCCAAGUAUGAUGCUCUGGGAGGUUUCGAUCUUUAUUGCUAGUGAAAGCAAGUCUCUCAGAGGCUUCUGUAGCUGAAGACCUGGGGUCAUCUCUCUAACACUGUGUCAAGAUGGAGAGUCUGCUGGAGGAGAGCAUCAGGGAGCCUGGGCCAAGAUGCCCGUACCAGGUUGCAGGUGCCUACUGCUGCGUGCAUACAGGAACCUGCCUGUGUGGAGGUCCCUCCAAGGCCACUUCCACAUGAUGGAAUAUAACAGCACCCUGCACAGGGAUCAGAAAACAAAAUGCCACCCAUGGAGAACACAUUCCAAAACACCACAGCAUUCACUGGGGUAAGAGGUGGAGCUCCAUAGAAUCCACUCCUGGGUGGGGUAGCUUCACAGAAUCCACUGUGGGGAUGCCCUAGCUCCACUGAGCCUGCUCACCCUUGUUUAACUUACAAAUGUCCUUUUGGUUGAUGGAUCAAGAUACAUCAUAUACAAGUAUACAAUUGUCAAAGAAUAAAAUGUACUU